GUCCAGACUCCUACGGGAGGCAGCAGUGAGGAAUAUUGGUCAAUGGCCGAGAGGCUGAACCAGCCAAGUCGCGUGAGGGAAGACUGCCCUAUGGGUUGUAAACCUCUUUUGUCAGGGAGCAACGCCGGCUACGUGUAGCCGGACUGAGAGUACCUGAAGAAAAAGCAUCGGCUAACUCCGUGCCAGCAGCCGCGGUAAUACGUAGGGGGCAAGCGUUAUCCGGAAUUAUUGGGCGUAAAGAGUACGUAGGUGGCAACCUAAGCGCAGGGUUUAAGGCAAUGGCUCAACCAUUGUUCGCCCUGCGAACUGGGAUGCUUGAGUGCAGGAGAGGAAAGCGGAAUUCCUAGUGUAGCGGUGAAAUGCGUAGAUAUUAGGAGGAACACCAGUGGCGAAGGCGGCUUUCUGGACUGUAACUGACACUGAGGUACGAAAGCGUGGGGAGCAAACAGGAUUAGAUACCCCAGUA
rnacentral:rRNA from 1 species